GAUGCAGAUACUCCUCCGGGUCCAGCGUUACCAGUUCCGGCUCCAGCACCGCUUCCAGUACCUUCAUAAAGAAAAUUUAUAAGUUUAUGAAAGUUUCGAGACUUGGCUGACAAAAAAACUUACCGAGUUGGGGGAAUGCGAAGGUACCACCAAUAGGACGGAUUGGACGGUUUCCUGCGAACUGAGGCCUAGCAACAGCAACGGCCAAGAGAAGAGCGAGAACCAAAGUAACCUGACGUGAUACGUAAGAUGAAAAUUACAGGUGGUGUCUGCGUGUGGUGUUUGGAUGGAGUUUCGCGUGAGAAAAAGAAGCGUUCAUUCGGCGUUUCAAUCAGAUUGGAAUGUUGG